UACGAAGGGGGCUAGCGUUGUUCGGAAUUACUGGGCGUAAAGCGCACGUAGGCGGACAUUUAAGUCAGGGGUGAAAUCCCAGAGCUCAACUCUGGAACUGCCUUUGAUACUGGGUGUCUUGAGUAUGGAAGAGGUAAGUGGAAUUGCGAGUGUAGAGGUGAAAUUCGUAGAUAUUCGCAGGAACACCAGUGGCGAAGGCGGCUUACUGGUCCAUUACUGACGCUGAGGUGCGAAAGCGUGGGGAGCAAACAGG
rnacentral:rRNA from 1 species